AUUAAUAAAGCGAAGAGGGUGUUACUGUUCAUCUUUGGGGAAACUUUCGAACUUCCCAUUUUGCCCUUGAUAUUGCCCAUGAUUUACAGAGAAAAUAGAGACUUAGAAAGAGAUGGAUGGUUCUGGGGUUUGCCGACACAGAGGGGACGUGGCUAUCGAUGAGGAAACAAGAAGAAAUUCAGAGGAAGAAAGAAAAUGGGAGAAAGGAAGAAACAGAAGAAAAGAAAUGAAGAAGAAGAAGAGGGAGACGGGAAAAGGCAGAGAAGAGAAAGUGAACGAGAGAAGGAGAAAUCGUAACGUCAAAUGAUGUCAAAAUGGCAUGGUUAAGUUUCUGAUAGGUUACAUAUUUUAAGUAGGCAUUCAGAUCAAUGUUAAUAGGUCUUUAUCGGAUACAUUUCCAAUCUAAUUCUUCAGUUAUUUAUGAAAAUGGUAGCUUUUUGUGAUUGAGGUUGAAGAUGCCUGAUUAUUAACCACUGACAUAAAUGAACAAUUGACAAGUCCUUCCGCACGCGCGAAGCGCGUGUAGGAAGGCUAGUUAGUCAUAAAAAGAAUAGUUACACCUAAUAGUCAUAUGUAUGUGAUUAGCAAAGGGUCAAUGUAAAGACAUCCGAUUAAGCA